CAGAGGGUGAGGAUCUGUUCUUUGGGGGGCUGACUUUCUCCCAGACUUUAUAAGUAGAAGAAAAGUGAAGAGUAGGCAAACUGAGAGUUUAGCCUCCGUCUUUUUGCUGAUUAGUCGAUCUCUAAUGAGCUGCUACAAGUUACGUAUUUACUUCAUUGAGCUGAAUCAUAGUCCCAAUGAUCUAGGUUUGGAAAUCACAAAAUUAAAUGGAACGGCAUUCAAAUGCAUGCAUAAAAGUUGGGAAAACAGUUCUAAACAAAGUCCUUUGGCUCCCCCUGGAAAGUAUGCCAACUCAGCCCCACGACUCCUGUUUACAUACACCUUUGCACCAACUUGAUUAACUCUCGUAUCCAGACCUCUGACAGCAAGCAAAUGCCGGUUUGGGCCACAUUGAGAGAUAAAGCAACUCUAGAUUCAUGAGAUCAUUCUAUUACUAAUAAAUAGGGGAAAUUGUUCAUAGUGAUAUAAGCAAUUACCUUGUAAUGGAGAUCCUCAAAAAAAUAACUAGUUCUAUACAUACAGAGAAACACUAGUAUGCACCAAAAACUACAGGGGAGAUUGACCAAAUCCAUCCAAAAGGUAAGUAUAUGCUGCGCAGUCUGCAUUGCAAUGGCAUCCUUUUCCUCUAGCCUUGACAUUUGCACAGUUAGUAAAUAGGCAUCGUUCUACAUCUCCAAAAUGACCUCUAGGAGAAGUUACAACAUCAAUGACUUCAAGAUCCUCGAGAAACUUCCUUUCAGAAUUUGAACAUGACAAACAAACAUCACAAGAAGAAACAAUUACAACACCAAGAUGCAUAAUCCAGUUCUUCUUUCACCGACUCAACUCCUCGUAAAAAACUAGAAAAAUUGUGCUUCAAUAAAAGUAACACACAACACAAGUCUUUGAACAUCACAAACAAACAUCACCAGAAGAAACAAUUAUAACACCAAGAUGCAUAAUCCAGUUCUUCUUUCACCAACUCAACUCCUCGUAAAAAAAUAGAAAAAUUGUGCUUCAAUAAAGGUAACACACAACACAAGUCUUUGAACAUCACAAACAAACAUCACCAGAAGAAACAAUUAUAACACCAAGAUGCAUAAUCCAGUUCUUCUUUCACCAACUCAACUCCUCGUAAAAAAAUAGAAAAAUUGUGCUUCAAUAAAAGUAACACGCAACACAAGUCUUUGAACAUCACAAACAAACAUCACCAGAAGAAACAAUUAUAACACCAAGAUGCAUAAUCCAGUUCUUCUUUCACCGACUCAACUCCUCAUAAAAAACUAGAAAAAUUGUGCCUCAAUAAAGGUAGCACACAACGCAAGUCUUUGACAUUGACAGUUCCAUGUAAUAGCCACAGCAAUUACCGAGAAAACAGUACAUGGGCUAAGAUAUUCAAAGUUUAAGCCGAUAACCUGAAGAAAGCUUUCUGGACUGAAGUUCCUAUGUCACCAGCUGCAUAUGCUUCAUGCUUACACACUUGUUGAUGGAGAUACUUGGCACAGAACUUAGCAACAACUUUACCUGAAAUAUGGUAAUCAUACUAGAAGUUCCAUAAAUCUAAUUCCCUGUUUUUCCCCCUUCAAUUACAGUUUACUUAAUAUAGUCAGGCACUAGCAUAUAGUGUCAUCUACUUAAUUAGUAGCAUCAGAUGUCAAAGCUUUCGACUAAAAACCAAUUUCAGAAUCCUAGGAAGCUGAAAGCU
rnacentral:lncRNA from 1 species